rnacentral:rRNA from 1 species
UACGGAGGGGACUAGCGUUGUUCGGAAUUACUGGGCGUAAAGCGCACGUAGGCGGAUUUGUAAGUCAGGGGUGAAAUCCCGGGGCUCAACCUGGGCACUGCAGUUGAAACUGGCAAGCUAGAGUAGGGUAGAGGGGUGUGGAAUUCCAGGUGUAGCGGUGAAAUGCGUAGAUAUCUGGAGGAACAUCAGUGGCGAAGGCGACACCCUGGACUCAUACUGACACUGAGGUGCGAAAGCGUGGGGAGCAAACAGG